CGCUUCCCCAGCUCCUAUUUUGGGCGCCAGCGCGGAGCAAACAGGCACCAUAUAGGGAGACGUUCUCUGCGAAGAUGAAGACGCGGGGCUCCCUGGGGGGGAGGUGGCCGGGCCCGGGCUGGGCUCUGAGGAAGCAGCUCUUCAGAGGUUGCCGGGGCUGCCGCCAGGCUUCCUGUGGCCUCUGACGGGGCACUGGCCUCUGUGUCCCUGGCUUUGUCUCGCCGACAGCUGAGUGUGUGGGAUGACAUGAUGUUGUACAUAGAUAACCCCAAAAACUGCACCAGAAAACUUAUGAAAGUAGAAAGUAAGCUCAGGAACGACAUAAGAUACAAAGUCUACACACAGAUGGCUGGUGCUCCUGCACAUUCUCAUCAAAGCGUCUCCGUGACUCUAGGAAAUAGGCGGGCUGUUUCAGAGGGAAGUGAGGAAAGAACACUUGAACCGGCUGCACAAGGAGAUGACAACCUAAGGAAACAAGAGCCCUGGACGUGUGUGUGCUCGGUCUUGGUUCGGCCCCAUCAUGUACCCAGUCCACAGGUUGGUGUUCUAUCCACUGGGCCACACCAGCCAGGGCUGAAGAUAACAUCUUGACUUCAGUUCUGUGUCAGGCCCAGGUCCCCGAAAGCGGACGACUCUCCGGGCGGACCACACCCUCAGGAAACCAGACAGAACAACGGCACAGCCGACACCAGGGCCCGAGGCCACCACCAGCCCCUCCCUGCCCUGCCCCCAACCCGUCAGCAGAGCCCAGGACCCCACCCCUUGAUGAGUUCCCCCCAGGUGACCCACCCCCGGGUAGCCGCGGGGAGCCAGGCCUGUGAGCACUAGCGCCCCUUGGCUCCGGGCUUGGCGCCAUUUCCCCGCCGAGUAAACCUCUGCUUUCUUGGCUGCAAACCCCUAUUUGCACCCGAUUGGGCUUUGGGGCGCACAGGUGAAACAUCACUUUGUCCUCUCUGCCCCCCUCCCCGCCCCCGAGUCUGACUCCGAGUCCCUGGGCUGCUUCAGGGCUGCCCGGGGUCUGGUUCCAGUUCCCAGGACUUGCUGGUGGACCACCUCAGAGACAGACCCGCCCUCACCGGCUUGGCUCAGUGGAUAGAGCGUCGGCCUGUGGACUGAAAGGUCCCAGGUUUGAUU